UCCUCCCUCUUUCUUCGUGCUUAACACAUGCAAGCCGAACGAUGAAGCGGGUGCUUGCACUCGUGGAUUAGUGGCGAACGGGCGAGUAACACGUGAGUAACCUGUCCUUUUCUUUGGGAUAACGGCUGGAAACGGCUGCUAAUACUGGAUAUUCAGGCUGCAUCGCAUGGUGUGGUUUGGAAAGGUUUUUUCUGGGAUUGGGUGGGCUCGCGGCCUAUCAGCUUGUGGGUGGGGUGAUGGCUUACCAAGGCUUUGACGGGUAGCCGGCCUGAGAGGGUGGUCGGUCGCACUGGGACUGAGAUACGGCCCAGACUCCUACGGGAGGCAGCAGUGGGGAAUAUUGCACAAUGGACGAAAGUUUGAUGCAGCGACGCCGCGGGGAGGGUGUAGGCCUUCGGGUUGUGAACUCCUUUUUCUCGCGAAAAAGGCACAGUUUUGGCUGUGUUGAUGGUAGUGGGGGAAGAAGCGCCGGCUAACUACGUG
rnacentral:rRNA from 1 species